GAUGAACGCUGGCGGCGUGCCUAAUACAUGCAAGUCGAGCGAAUGGAUUAAGAGCUUGCUCUUAUGAAGUUAGCGGCGGACGGGUGAGUAACACGUGGGUAACCUGCCCAUAAGCCUGGGAUAACUCCGGGAAACCGGGGCUAAUACCGGAUAACAUUUUGAACCGCAUGGUUCGAAAUUGAAAGGCGGCUUCGGCUGUCACUUAUGGAUGGACCCGCGUCGCAUUAGUUAGUUGGUGAGGUAACGGCUCACCAAGGCAACGAUGCGUAGCCGACCUGAGAGGGCGAUCGGCCACACUGGGACUGAGACACGGCCCAGACUCCUACGGGAGGCAGCAGUAGGGAAUCUUCCGCAAUGGACGAAAGUCUGACGGAGCAACGCCGCGUGAGUGAUGAAGGCUUUCGGGUCGUAAAACUCUGUUGUUAGGGAAGAACAAGUGCUAGUUGAAUAAGCUGGCACCUUGACGGUACCUAACCAGAAAGCCACGGCUAACUACGUGCCAGCAGCCGCCGUAA
rnacentral:rRNA from 1 species